GAUCCCCAAUAAAGCACGGUCAGAAACCUGUUGCCGCGUCUUCCUUGCUGGCGAGGCGGGCGCGACAAGUGGUGCCGAAACCCGGGAAAACGAAACAACCUUGAAGCACCAGCGGAGACGACCUCAUUAGGAGGACCAAGAGAACCCUGUUUGGGUACCAGCCCGGCUGACCAGACUAGUCCGCCCAGAUCCCAGCGACGAUGAGCCUGUUGUGGCUGAGCCUGCUGAUGGACCUGAUGAUGACGGGGUCCGGGGCGGAGCCCAGGUGGGCGGUGAUGGACGUCUUCCCGAUGCCGAUGCGAUCCGCCAUGACUCCACCGUCUUUCCUCGUUUCCCACCAACAUCUCACUGGACCUGCCUUAUGUUCCUUUCGACCCUGACCAGGCAAACUUUUCCCAUAGCGCAAACAUUACUAUCCCAGGGUCACUUUGCUUUGAAUGUCAACUCGCAGCUUAAAGGAGGAAUUACGAUCAUAAUCAAAGAGUGGACUUAGUCCAAGAACAAGUGGACUCGUUAUUGCAGCUUGUGCAGCUGGGAUGCGAGCAGCGGUGGCCCGGUUUAUGUGUUACCUCCAUCUCCAUCAUAAUUGGUCCCGUGCAGCAAACUUGUCUCGCCAACUGUCCCAUUACCUAAUGUCUAAUUGGUCUCAUGGAUUUGAGGGACUGUUACUUGAGUUACAGCAAUCCAUUAUUCAUAUUAAUUCUACACGGGUUGAUCUUGCUGUUGCUGAAGGUUUAACUAGCUGGAUUUCACAGGCUGCCAAUCAUCUUAAGGAAUGGGCUGGUAUGGGUGCCUUGGCAGGUCUCCUUGUGCUUAUUGCCAUAUUAGGGCUCACAUGUAUUGUCAGAAUGGCGCGUCAGAACCAACGUAAUCAGAUAUUGAUGAUUCAGGCUUUUGCUGCGUUAGAGCUUGGGCAAAACCCACAGGUUUGGCUAAACAUGUUGAACUAGGGCGCUGUUAUCGCCCCAGCAGCCCCCCCGAGUUGGCUGUAAGGUUACUCCAUGACGGGAAUGCAUGGGGCCCCAUCAUUGAGCGUCGUAGAUUUGAGCCAUGAUGGGGAGAA